rnacentral:tRNA from 1 species
UCCCUGGUGGCUCUAAUGGUAAAGAAUCUGCCUGUAAUGCAGGAGACCUAGGUUUGAUCCCUAGGUUGGGAA